GACGAACGCUGGCGGCGUGCUUAACACAUGCAAGUCGAACGGUAAGGCCCUUCGGGGUACACGAGUGGCGAACGGGUGAGUAACACGUGGGUGAUCUGCCCUGCACUUUGGGAUAAGCCUGGGAAACUGGGUCUAAUACCGGAUAGGACCAUGCGCCUCACGGUGUGUGGUGGAAAGCUUUUGCGGUGUGGGAUGGGCCCGCGGCCUAUCAGCUUGUUGGUGGGGUAAUGGCCUACCAAGGCGACGACGGGUAGCCGGCCUGAGAGGGUGACCGGCCACACUGGGACUGAGAUACGGCCCAGACUCCUACGGGAGGCAGCAGUGGGGAAUAUUGCACAAUGGGCGCAAGCCUGAUGCAGCGACGCCGCGUGAGGGGUGACGGCCUUCGGGUUGUAAACCUCUUUCAGUAGGGACGAAGCGCAAGUGACGGUACCUACAGAAGAAGGACCGGCCAACUACGUGCCAGCCGCCGCCGUAA
rnacentral:rRNA from 1 species